CACGUAGGGCGCAAGCGUUGUCCGGAAUUAUUGGGCGUAAAGAGCUCGUAGGCGGUCUGUUGCGUCUGCUGUGAAAACCCGGGGCUUAACCCCUGGCUUGCAGUGGAUACGGACAGACUAGAGGUAGGUAGGGGAGAAUGGAAUUCCCGGUGUAGCGGUGAAAUGCGCAGAUAUCAGGAGGAAUACCAGCGGCGAAGGCGGCGCUCUGGGCCGGUACUGACGCUGAGGAGCGAAAGCGUGGGGAGCAAACAGG
rnacentral:rRNA from 1 species